rnacentral:rRNA from 1 species
GCAAGCCUGAUGGAGCGACGCCGCGUGAGCGAAGAAGCCCUUCGGGGUGUAAAGCUCUUUUCAGUGAGAUGACACAGACAGUAUCACUGGAAUAAGCCUCGGCUAACUACGUGCCAGCAGCCGCGGUAAUACGUAGGAGGCAAGCGUUGUCCGGAAUCACUGGGCGUAAAGAGCGUGUAGGCGGUUGACCUAGUCUGCUGUGAAAUCUCCGGGCUUAACUCGGAGGGGUCAGUGGAAACUAGUCGACUUGAGGACGGUAGAGGGGGGUGGAAUUCCCGGUGUAGUGGUGAAAUGCGUAGAGAUCGGGAGGAACACCAGCGGCGAAGGCGGCCCCCUGGGCCGCUCCUGACGCUGAGACGCGAAGGCCAGGGUAGCGAACGGGAUUAGAUACCCCGGUAGUCCUGGCAGUAAACGAUGAGCACUAGGUGUGGGGGGUAUCGAGCCCCUCCGUGCCGUAGUCAACACAAUAAGUGCUCCGCCUGGGGAGUACGGCCGCAAGGUUA